UGUGUUUCAGGGCAUGGUGACGGUGUCCGGCUCUCUGUCGGUUCUGCUGGACUCGGUCCUGUGUGCUCUGGGUCCUCUGGCCUGUCUGACCACUCAGCUCCCAGAACUCAACGGCUGCCCACAUCACGUGCUGUCAAACACUCUGGACAACAUCGCCUACGUGAUGCCGGGUCUGUGACGGACUCGUCCUCGUCCCGAUGUCCCUCAGCAUCUCUGAUCCAACCAUCCACUAAAGACUUUACCACUUGCACAGUUUUGCACUGGAUCAACUCACACUUCAACUUUUAACCUGCUUCUUAAACCUGCGCUCCAUUUUUAUCUGAUCUAAUGUUGAUUUUGUAUUUCAGUUGUUUUUCUCUCAAUAAAAUCCAUUUUAGUAUGUUCUUUUAA